AACAAAUUAAGACCGGUUCAUACUACCAAGGUCAGGUUAGCACGUGAUUUGAGUGGAAAGAGUAGAACUGCUGAUAUGGCUGAUAAGUAGAGCGACGUGGGUCGUCUUUUAAAAUUCAAAUGGAGUUACAUAACCUCAAUGUAAAGUGCGAUGUGAUGCGUAACAUGGGGAGCAACAGUCUUUGAGAAGCUGCCAGUUGCCCAGCCAUGAACGAAAGAACGUUCCAUGAUUUUAUGGAACCCUAAGGGACUGAAAAAAUCACAGAAAAUCUGUCAGAAUAGUCACCAUCCCAGCUGAGAUUUGUGCCUGGCACUUUCUGAAUACAAAUCAAAAGGGUUCCUGCUUGAGCCACUGUUCUAACAUAACAUCAUACAAGUUUGGAAACCAGAUUGUGGCACCAUACAGCCCCAUAACAUGCUGCCUCAAUCUUCUGGAUCCUAGUUUCCAUUUACAGCACUAGUGAAAAUCUUGGGUUAUACCUUUGGGUGUAUCUAUAAAACUCACACAAUGUGAUCAAAAUUCAGACAUAUGAAUCUGAAUGUGGUGAUGAUGGUUCAAAUCAUGUCAGUUCUUCCCACUGCUAUAAACACAGAAUGAUGGCCACGUUAUGGAACCUUCAGCCUACACACAAGAAGUGACAUAUUUCCAUUCAUCCUGGAAACUCCUGUGUCAGUCCUGAAUUAUCUUUUAUAAUUUCAAAAUACACAGGCAUGUGCAAAUCUAAAAUCAGGCAUUAUAAUUGCAUCUUUUCUGAGAGACAAAAGUGACACUUGGUGAUCUCUACCUGAAAUUCUGCCAGUAUCAAAGACCUUGUGGCACAGAGACAAUGGGAAACGCUGGAACACUAUCAUAUUCUCCUGAUACAAGCCAUUGCAAUUUCAGUCUCUUCUUGAAGAUGAAGGAACCUCUCUGACAGAAGCGGUUUCACCACAGAAAAAGUGUUGAGCAUACAACUAGGGGGCAUAUAGCAAAGAUGAAGGAAACUCAAUCUGGAGAUGGCAUCGACCACCCUUCAUGGGUGUGGAAACAUAUUAAGACAUAGGCAAGGACAUAUAUUCUCAUGAAGACUAAUAAAGAAAUUAUUAAUACAGC